rnacentral:lncRNA from 1 species
AUGUCCCGAUAUAGAUAAUCUUGAAGUAAUUCUUGAUUCUUAGAUCAACUAGAGAACUCUCAGGAAACUUCCUCUCUUCCCACCAAAAAUAUUCAUAUAGUUAUCCUUGGGCAAUCUUGGAUCUUAAUUAGUACACUCACGUUCCCUGUGGAAAAUCGAUACUCUGGAAUACUCCCGGAUGAAGGCUACAUCGGUAUCCGUGCGCUUGCGGAUUUUUCUGUUUGCGUUUAAAAUGCCCAACAAGCUUUCUGGCGCCGUUGCCGGGGAACGGUAGCUGUGCUAGUUUCGAACCAAGUCGUCCGUGUAUCCUUUUUCUUUUCUUUUUUUUACCACACUCACCUUAUUAUUUUCACCAUACCACAUGGAUUUCACUCUAAGCAUUAAUGAGCAUGGAAUUUAUUUCAUAGCCACUUCAUUUACUCCAUGCUCAUAUGCAACAUCUUCACAAUCCAUUGGUCUCUCCAACAUCACCACAUUCGAGAUCUCCAACCCCCACUUCCUUUCUAUUUAUAAAAACUUUAAAAGGGCGGUUGUCGAUGCAUAUGUCUAUAAUAAAUUUUGCAGAUCUCGUUGAGUUGAUCUUGAUAUAAGUCAGCGUUGGAGCGGAAACCACUUCGCCGACAUAAAUUGAGGGUUUCCCAAGGACAAGCUUAGUGUCCUAAAACAAGCACUGAUCAGAUCGUAACAUGAGCUUUUAAUUAUUUGCAACAUUACCUUGUGUAUUGAGCAUAUAAGGAUAAUUGUAAAAAAAUUCCUUCGGUUAUUCUUGUCACUAACCUUUCUAGGAUUGGAGC